CCAAGACCAACUUGAAGAAGAGAGUCUUUUGGUUCAAGCAGUUCACUGUCUAAUUUGGAGAAGUAAUUGGCUUCCAUCAAGAGUACGAAAAGAAGUUGCAGCUGUAAGCCGGGCAGAGCUUACGGAAAGCUGUUAGCGCUUGAAAAUUUAUCAGAGUGGCGCAGCGAAAGCUAUGAAUGAGUAGAUUAGUGAUCGAAUUGCUUUAUUAUAUUGCUUGAAAUGUAAUUUGAAAUAAUAA